rnacentral:tmRNA from 1 species
GGGGCUGAUUUUGGAUUUGACAGCAAGAUAAGUCAUAAAAGAAAGCAUAUCGUGUCACGUAAGGUAUUACACGAAAAUCAAGCGUUACAAAUAUAUAAAUGGCGAAAAAGAAUACGCUUUUGCUGCUUAAUGUUAACAUUAUAGCUUCAUCUGCAAAAAAACGCAGAAGCAAAAUAUCUCUCAGAAAUUUUUCCUUAUAAUUUCUGAUAUAGAGGUACUUAAAAAUAUUAAGGAUAAGAAAACAGAUGAUUCUUAAGUUUUCUGAAUUAUAUUUUGAAUCUUAAGUUUUUAUUCUGGAUCCAAAACUUGGAUAAAAAUGUAAAAAAUUUUUUUGGAUAAAUAUGGAUAAAUCUUUUAUACGACUUGUUUGGACGCGGGUUCGAAUCCCGCCAGCUCCACCA